rnacentral:rRNA from 1 species
GAUGAACGCUGGCGGCGUGCCUAAUACAUGCAAGUCGAGCGAACAGACGAGGAGCUUGCUCCUCUGACGUUAGCGGCGGACGGGUGAGUAACACGUGGAUAACCUACCUAUAAGACUGGGAUAACUUCGGGAAACCGGAGCUAAUACCGGAUAAUAUAUUGAACCGCAUGGUUCAAUAGUGAAAGAAGGUUUUGCUGUCACUUAUAGAUGGAUCCGCGCCGCAUUAGCUAGUUGGUAAGGUAACGGCUUACCAAGGCGACGAUGCGUAGCCGACCUGAGAGGGUGAUCGGCCACACUGGAACUGAGACACGGUCCAGACUCCUACGGGAGGCAGCAGUAGGGAAUCUUCCGCAAUGGGCGAAAGCCUGACGGAGCAACGCCGCGUGAGUGAUGAAGGUCUUCGGAUCGUAAAACUCUGUCAUUAGGGAAGAACAAAUGUGUAAGUAACUAUGCACGUCUUGACGGUACCUAAUCAGAAAGCCACGGCUAACUACGUG